CUUUUCGUUUUCUUAAAAUGAGUUAUGAUAGUCUAGAAUUGUGUGUGUCUUUUAGUAUUUCUAAAAGUGUCUUUUAGUUUCUCUAUGAAAUUAAAGAGUGCAUUAAUGUAUAGAGAAGAUGAAGGAUCAUUUGAGAGGCUAUAAAUAUGUAAUGAUUUUAUGAUGAAAAGCAAGUUAAGUUGAGUUGAAGUUUCUACUUUCAUUUGAGAAUAAGGAUUUCUUCUUCCUCCUAUCUCUUAGGUAGAUUUUCUGUGAGAGAAGAGUGUUGUUCAACCAUUGUGUUGGUGGAUUCCGCAUAGCGGUGAGUGUGCUCGAGUUCGACGUGAUGGAUUCUACGGCGGGUCGAGUAUUUAUCGUGUUAUAUUGGUCCUAUCUCCGCGUCCCCUUUAAGUUCUGGCAUCAACAAUAAUGUAGAAAAUUAUAUUAAAUUAGAUAUUUAUAAAAUUUUACAAAACACUAAACUUCAAUUAGUGUCUUAAGGUUAAAACUAUAAUCUUUAAUUUUACUUUUA
rnacentral:lncRNA from 1 species